rnacentral:rRNA from 1 species
ACUCCUACGGGAGGCAGCAGUAAGGAAUAUUGGACAAUGGGCGCAAAGCCUGAUCCAGCCAUCCCGCGUGCAGGAAGACCAGCCCUAUGGGUUUUAAACUGCAUUUAGAAGGGAAGAAACGCCUGACAUUUAUGUGGGUUUGACGGUACCUUCAGAAUAAGCACCGGCUAACUCCGUGCCAGCAGCCGCGGUAAUACGGAGGGUGCGAGCGUUAU